GUGAGGUAACGGCUCACCAAGGCAUCGACGGGUAGCUGGUCUGAGAGGACGAUCAGCCACACUGGGACUGAGACACGGCCCAGACUCCUACGGGAGGCAGCAGUAGGGAAUCUUGCACAAUGGGCGAAAGCCUGAUGCAGCGACGCCGCGUGGGGGAUGAAGGCCUUCGGAUUGUAAACCCCUUUCAGUAGGGACGAAAAUGACGGUACCUACAGAAGAAGCACCGGCCAACUACGUGCCAGCAGCCGCGGUAACACGUAGGGUGCAAGCGUUGUCCGGAUUUAUUGGGCGUAAAGAGCUCGUAGGUGGUUCCGUAAGUCGGAUGUGAAAACUCAAGGCUCAACCUUGAGACGCCAUCCGAUACUGCGGUGACUUGAGUUCGGUAGGGGAGUGUGGAAUUCCUGGUGUAGCGGUGAAAUGCGCAGAUAUCAGGAGGAACACCAACAGCGAAGGCAGCACUCUGGGCCGAUACUGACACUGAGGAGCGAAAGCAUGGGGAGCAAACAGGAUUAGAUACCCUGGUAGUCCAUGCCGUAAACGUUGGGCACUAGGUGUGGGGGUCUAUCAACGAUCUCCGCGCCGUCGCUAACGCAUUAAGUG
rnacentral:rRNA from 1 species